UACGAAGGGGGCUAGCGUUGCUCGGAAUCACUGGGCGUAAAGCGCACGUAGGCGGCUUUUUAAGUCAGAGGUGAAAUCCUGGAGCUCAACUCCAGAACUGCCUUUGAUACUGGAGAGCUUGAGUCCGGGAGAGGUGAGUGGAACUGCGAGUGUAGAGGUGAAAUUCGUAGAUAUUCGCAAGAACACCAGUGGCGAAGGCGGCUCACUGGCCCGGUACUGACGCUGAGACACGAAAGCGUGGGGAGCAAACAGG
rnacentral:rRNA from 1 species